UCUUGUUUCAAGCCCGUACAGGCUCCCUCCCAACACAAAAGCGACUCUGCGAACUCUUUGGAAACGCAAACCCAGCAUGUACCCUAUGUAACACCGGAGAAGAAGAGGACAUACAGCACAUCCUGCAAACUUGCCCGGCCCUACGCGAAGACGGAGUGCCCAAGACACCAGUCCCUAUCGCCAUCAUGUUGGGCUUCGAGGCAUCACCCAGCUCCCAACCCCAGAUCAACGACACGAAGAAAGUCCUCCUCAAGUGGGAAAAGGCCUCCAAAAUAAAAUCAAGGGCGCUCCACGAGACAGCCGGCAGACACCGUCUCGAAACCGAAACCGGCCAAACACAGCGGACGGCCAUCCGAAGCCAGAGCCAUCAAGUGGCGCCUCCGCAAGACGAACCCACCAGCAUUGACUCAAAUUCCUCGCUCCUCUUAUGAGAGCUUGGAGACUCGCCUGUGACUCUUUUUAUGGAUGUCUGCCCUGUUGUAAAAGGGAUUAGGCGAACCUGAACCUGAACCUAAACGGAUUGGACGGGCGGUGCUCUUUGAUCUCGGCGCCGUUGAACAGGCAUUCUCAGGAGAUAAACUGAUGUCCUGGACCGGCAAUCCAGAAGAUGUGGGUUCGAUCCCUACAGCUGGCUAACCUUUUCAGUGACUUUCAUCUUUCAGGCAUUCUCAAAUAUAGGAGGCUAUGCCCUAACGGACGGAGCCCGCCAUUGGCUUUGGCUAUAUGUUUGACUUACGAGCCUGGCCUGGCUAACGGCACAAGCAUGGCCCCAUCCGUGCCAAAUACUUGUUAGCGGAAAUUUUACUUUCGUGAUGUUAGAUAUCCUUCUAGGAAUGUUAUCCCUUGUGAUAUCGCUUCUACUUCUUCUUGUACUUGUAGGAGUAGGAUGGUACAUUGUAUGGAAACUGUUCCUGUCCCGUUUCAAGUUUGUUCGGGAGUUGCUGAUAGCCAACAAUGGUGCUACGGACGUCCAAGCAACUCCACGCUCACGAAGCCGCAGGGCCAGGGUUGACUAGCAGAUACGAUUACCACUGUGAGCUGCAUCAAAGGACACAGUCAGUGUUUUACUCUGAGCAUGUCUGUGAUUUUCGUGAGCUCCUAAUGGGGAGAACUUUCGAGGUGGAAUAUUUUCUACCGUGUGGGUGCGCCAGACAGAAUUACAGAAAGCCACAUGUAUUUUUAAACACGAUCACGCAGUAAAUAAACGUGUAUGUUGUACAUUUUUCUUAUUAUA